UGGCUUCUUUGACGGAUACUUUGGACAGGGCCUCAACAGGUCAGGAGGAUGUGGACAUGUGAGGGAACAGCAUGAGGAAAGUAAGGAGAGAGGGAAGUGCAGGCCUGUCGAGGAGCAGAGAGGAGCAGGUGUGGCUGCAGGUGGAGGUGCUUAGAGGAGAGGAGGGAAUCUCACAGGACCACUGGGCCAUGAGUGGUGGCCUGAGAUUGGACUUAAUGCCAUGUAGUAUAUGUUUUCUGUUUGAUGGAGGAAUUUAAACUUUCACCUCUUAUAGUGAGAGCUCACAUCUCCUUCAAGAAAGGAAUUAUUUCUGAUACCUCAGUGAAAUAGAGAGAGGAAAACAAGGUAAAAAUUUCCCAAGGGGUUUCUACAAGAUUUCCAGCACUUCCUAAAUUAGCCCUGACCAGUAAAACCACGAGAGAAGACUUCCUGGCAGAGCCUGGCACUUCCAUUUCCAGUCCCAACCGAAAGCAGGAAGCAUUGAGACAAGUAAUAAUUCAACUCUUCAGUUGGCUUCCAAAAUUAUCCACAUUCAGGUCACCUGGCAUUCGCACCAAAGGUCAGAAAUUAUUCUGGUUUGAUCUGUUUCAAGUUAUCGACUUGUUUUUGACCAAACAAAUUGCAGACUCACUUUUAGCAGAUGGAAAUAUUUUUGCGUCUUUCUCAUCACCCCAACAUUUUCUGAGCAUGGCUCCCUGUGAUGAGUAGCUUCAUACAAUUAGCAGGAGCCCCUAUAAGCCUGAGCUUAUACACUGUUAACCUGGGAAGAAAAUCCUACGCUUUGGAUUCAGACCACCUGAAUACAAUUCCCAGAUCUGCUAGUUAUUAGCUGACCUUAAGCAAACUACUUAGAUUUGCUAAAUCUCAGUUUCCUAUUCUAUAAAACAAAGAAGCUUCACAUCCAUUAAGAGGCUACUAUAAAAAAAAAAAAAAAAAAAGAACAGAACAAGUGUUGGCAAGGAUGUGGA
rnacentral:lncRNA from 1 species